GACCGGCACAUAAAUUACUUCCUUCAAGAUAGAUGAGUCUUUGAUCUACAGUGUAGAGACACUGAGCGAUGAGUGUGGAUAGUUGUUAGAGAACAACUAGUACUGAGCUUGACCAUACGAGAGAUCUCUUGAAUUUCUAAUCAAUCUCAGUGAUUGUCUCGAUACUGUAGUUAUGUGAAUGAUCCUUUAAUCUGCGAUGGUAUGACUGUUCGUAGUAAGAUUGCUAGAGU
rnacentral:lncRNA from 1 species